GGUUAAAGAGCUCGUAGUUGGAUCUCGGCAAGUAGAGGGCGGUAUGCUUCGUAGCAUUACUGCCCUAUUACUUGUAGUUUUGCCAGAGGUUCCUGGGUGCUCUUAAUCGAGUGUCUAGGGAUGCUGGCAGGUUUACUUUGAAAAAAUUAGAGUGCUCAAAGCAGGCUAUUACGCUUGAAUAUUCGUGCAUGGAAUAAUAGAAUAGGAAGUUGUUUCUAUUUUGUUGAUUUUCGGAAAUCGACUUAAUGAUUAAUAGGGACAGUCGGGGGCAUUUGUAUUCAAACGACAGAGGUGAAAUUCUUGGACCGUUUGAAGACAAACUACUGCGAAAGCAUUUGCCAAGAAUGUUUUCAUUAAUCAAGAACGAAAGUUAGAGGUUCGAAGGCGAUUAGAUACCGCCCUAGUUCUAACCAUAAACGAUGCCAGCUAGCGAUCUGAGGACGUUUUUUUUGUAGACUCCUCAGGAAGCUUCCGGGAAACCAAAGCGUGUGGGUUCCGGGGGAAGUAUGGUUGCAAAGCUGAAACUUAAAGGAAUUGACGGAAGGGCACCACCAGGAGUGGAGCCUGCGGCUUAAUUUGACUCAACACGGGAAAUCUCACCAGGCCCGGACACUGGAAGGAUUGACAGAUUGAGAGCUC
rnacentral:rRNA from 1 species